rnacentral:rRNA from 1 species
GGGUCAGUAGGUUGGUCGUGCCACCGGUACGUACUGGUCUCACUGAUUCCUCCUUCCUGAAGAACCGUAAUGCCAUUAAUUUGGUGUUGCGGGGGAACAGGACUGUUACUUUGUAAAAAUUAGAGUGUUUAAAGCAAGCUAACGCUUGAAUACAUUAGCAUGGAAUAAUGAAAUAGGACGAUCGAUCCUAUUUUGUUGGUUUCUAGGAUUGACGUA